rnacentral:lncRNA from 1 species
UGAAAGUCAUAAAAAAAACUUGAUCCCCAAACAAAAAAGCAACAAUUUUGAUAUCCAAACGAUAUCAACAAUUAUGUUUUGACCAUGAUAGAGAACAUCCCACAACAAUAGAACAUUCUUACCAGCAAUUUUUUAUAUCCAAAAUAUAACAACAAGUAUUUCUUGACCAUGACACAAAAAAAUCUCACAAUAAUAGAACAAUCUUAAGGUUUCCAAGCACAAGAGAAGAUUUGUAAACACGCAUAUCAUAUUUAUUCAAAGUUCAAACUGAAUUUGUUGGUGUAUCCGUUGGACCUUCUCGUUCAAAACAAAACAGUCUCACAUCUUCUAUGCUUCCUUGCACAUGAAGCUCCCCUUUGCUGCACACAUAUCUACAGAACAUCCAUAACAAGGAAGACACAUGUUAGAGUAUAUUUAGAACUAGCAUGGCACAAACUAUGUGGAAAACAGAGGAAAUACAUAUCUACAGUUUGGUUUUAGUCAAGGAAAUACAUAUCUACAGUCUAGUUCAAAAUGUAGUAACUCCAAAUGAAUAUCAACAAUUUCUAGCAUGGAGCAUAUCUACAGAGCAUCCAUAAUAGUUUGGUUUGAAAGACAAAUGAAUAUCAACGGUUAGUUUAUCUCCAAAUGACCGACACGCAAGCAGUUCAAUCAGGUUUAGCAUCCAACUUUAGCACUCAAGUUCAGGUUUGCACUUACAAAAACAAAGACAAAACAGGUUUAGCAUCCAACCUUUGCACUCAAGUUCAGGUUUGGCUUCAAUUAACUACCAACGUUAGCAGAUAAGUUGAGCAGGUUUCAAUCAGCUUACGGAACACACACAACAUCUAAACAAAGGAGAAACGAACAAGUUGGACUACAUACCUUCUAUCCCUACUUGAAAAGUUGAUCCCCCAAUCUCGUGACAGCCCUCACAUGCAUCUCCUUUGCCUAGUACUUGGAGCUGCUAGUGCAUCAUGAAUAUUGGUAGCUAUUUGUGCAGCAAAGUUGUUGAGAAUAUUCUGUUGUGCCAAGUAAUCUUCUAGCGAGAACACUUCUGCCGGGUCAAUGAUGUCAUCUUCGAACUCAUCGGAACUCGAUUGUGACAUAUUGCAAGUUGAGCUACAAUUUAAAUAUCAAGUAGUAAGAAUUAUGCACACAACUACACCUGGAACUAUAAUCUUGGAC